rnacentral:ncRNA from 1 species
AGAUUUUUUAGCGUGCUGGAUAACGGCUUAAUGUAAAGGCUGUUGUUAUUCAAUACGAUAUCGCCGCCGGCCCGGACUUCUCCGCCGGCCAGCGGAAUGUCCAGAUUCAGCGUCCCCCGCACCGGCCCGCCAAGCUGUAACUCCUCCAGCGCGGCUCCCAGCGAAGAUUUCAGCGGCGUUUGCCGGAAGUAGUUGCCCACUUCCGGGCCGGGACCGUUUAACUCGCCCGCGACCAACAGCCGUUCCUGCUGAUAAUCAGGGAUCGCCGCGCUGAUAUUCCUGCCUUCCACUUUCCCCAGCCAGGCCUGCGGCGCCAGCAUCCAUAAGCCGUUAUUGGCGAAAUCGAGAUUGAUAUCCAGCGGCGUUAACGCCGGCCAACCCGGCUGAAACUCAAAGGUGGAAUUCUUCACCGGCGCC